GCACCUGUGGCGGAACUGGCAGACGCGCUAGACUUAGGAUCUAGUAUCGAGAGAUGUGUGGGUUCGAGUCCCUCCAGGUGCACCA
rnacentral:tRNA from 2 species